rnacentral:lncRNA from 1 species
CGAGCUUCCAUAAUACCAUCCGGACUUCUCCGACAAUGAGCUUCUCCAUUCAUCUACCAGACUGCUCCAAACGCUCUCUAAACUUCACUUUCAGCUGAUUCUCUACAGUGGUCGACUAUUCUUUGAAUCCCUUCCAGACUUCUCCCGGCCACGGAUGACUUUACUCCAAACUUCCUCCGAGCUUCGUCAAUGAUCGAGCUUCUUCAACAGUAGGACUUCUAUAGUAACCAGACUCCAUCC